rnacentral:rRNA from 1 species
CAGUAGCCGCGGUAAUACAGAGGGUGCGAGCGUUAAUCGGAUUUACUGGGCGUAAAGCGUGCGUAGGCGGCUUUUUAAGUUGGAUGUGAAAUCCCCGUGCUCAACCUGGGAACUGCAUCCAAAACUGGCAAGCUAGAGUAUGGUAGAGGGUGGUGGAAUUUCCUGUGUAGCGGUGAAAUGCGUAGAUAUAGGAAGGAACACCAGUGGCGAAGGCGACCACCUGGACUGAUACUGACACUGAGGUGCGAAAGCGUGGGGAGCAAACAGGAUUAGAUACCCCUGUAGUCCCUGUCUCUUAUAC